GUUAAAAAGCUCGUAGUUGGAUCUCGGCGGGCAGGGGGUGGUUCGCUCUUCAGCGCUACUGCCCCGCUUUGCCCGUGUGAUUGGCGGAGGUUUCGGGGUGCUCUUCGUUGGGUGACUCGGAGCGCCGUCAGGUUUACUUUGAAAAAAUUAGAGUGCUCAAAGCAGGCUUUUCACGCUUGAAUAUUCGUGCAUGGAAUAAUGGAAUAGGAACUCGUUUCUAUUUUGUUGGUUUUCGGAAAUCGAGUUAAUGAUUAACAGGGACAAUUGGGGGCAUUAGUAUUCAGACGACAGAGGUGAAAUUCUUGGACCGUCUGAAGACUGACUACUGCGAAAGCAUUUGCCAAGAGUGUUUUCAUUAAUCAAGAACGAAAGUUAGAGGUUCGAAGGCGAUCAGAUACCGCCCUAGUUCUAACCAUAAACGAUGCCAGCUAGCGAUCUGCCGAGUUUUUUUUGUAGGCUCCGCAGGAAGCUUUCGGGAAACCAAAGCUUUUGGGUUCCGGGGGAAGUAUGGUUGCAAAGCUGAAACUUAAAGGAAUUGACGGAAGGGCACCACCAGGAGUGGAGCCUGCGGCUUAAUUUGACUCAACACGGGAAAUCUCACCAGGCCCGGACACUGGAAGGAUUGACAGAUUGAGAGCUCUUUCUCGAUUCGGUGGGUGGUGGUGCAUGGCCGUUCUUAGUUGGUGGAGUGAUUUGUCUGGUUAAUUCCGAUAACGAACGAGACUCUGUCCUGCUAAAUAGUUGGGUCGUCCUUCGUGCGAUCCAAGUUCUUCUUAGAGGGACUGGCUGCGUCUAGCAGCACGAGAUUGAGCAAUAACAGGUCUGUGAUG
rnacentral:rRNA from 1 species